rnacentral:rRNA from 1 species
UGGGGAAUUGUUCACAAUGGGCGCAAGCCUGAUGACGCAACGCCGCGUGGGGGAUGAAGGUCUUCGGAUUGUAAACCCCUGUCGAAUGGGACGAAAGACUCGCGAGUUAAUACUUCGCGGGAGUGACGGUACCGUUAAAGGAAGCCACGGCUAACUCUGUGCCAGCAGCCGCGGUAAUACAGAGGUGGCAAGCGUUGUUCGGAAUUACUGGGCGUAAAGGGCGCGUAGGCGGCCUACUAAGUCAGACGUGAAAUCCCCCGGCUUAACCUGGGAACUGCGUCUGAUACUGGAAGGCUUGAGUAUGGGAGAGGGAUGUAGAAUUCCAAGUGUAGCGGUGGAAUGCGUAGAUAUCAGGAAGAACACCUGUGGCGAAGGCGGCUAGCUGGGCCAGUUCUGACGCUGAUCCGCGAAAGCGUGGGGAGCAAACAGGAUUAGAUACCCCCGUAGUCCCUGAG